CAUUAAAAAAAGAUAUUUCAUUAAUUAAAUGAUACACCCGAAAAUAGGUAAACGAAGAAGUAAAAUAAUAUAAAAAAUAACAGGGUCGUAAUAAAUCGUUAGAACAGAUGUAAAUUUUACAACAGAUAAUAACAUUAUGAAAACCCGUAUUCAAGAUCAAGGAGUGACAACCAUGGCUCCGAGGGAUUUAUAAUAAUUUUCACUCCAUCCAAGUCAGAACUCAAAUACUUACAUUGUAAGAAACUGCCUAAUAUUAGAAGUUUUUUACAAGUGUAAUAAGGAAUAUAUAAAAUUUGGUUCCCUUUUUCUAAGUUCUAUUGAAACAAGAAAAUCUUCAUAUUAUGACAAUUCAUAUUACUUCACCAUUUAAAUACUAUUACAUUACUGCAAUUUAUAGGAGUCAUUAUGUCAAGAAUAAGUUUCAGAUAAAGUAUAUAAAAUUAUUUUAUGUAACUAAGUGUAUUUAUAAUUUGUUUAAUAAUAAUUUUAUUGCAUAACCAUGAUUGUAACAAAGUCAACACUGGAAAUUAUAGUAAAAGUAUGAAAAUUCAUUUGUACAUUUGGAUCAGCUUAAACAUCUGUGUCUGAACUAUGUUAUAAAACAUGUAUCUCAGACAACAAGGCUCAAGCUUUCAUUAAAUACAAUAUUAGCUCAGCGAAAUUUUUAGUGCUACAUAUAGAAUGUUGAUUUUAUAUAAAGUUAAUUUUCUAAUUACAAAUAUUAGUAGUGAAAAUUGAGAAAAAAAAAAUCGAAAGAAAUUGUUUCAAAAAUAGUAGCAAACAAACAAAUGGAAUGCCUUAUCCCAUUGAAUGAAACACUAAGAGUUACAAUGUAUGCGUUGCCGACCAUAACGUAAACAUUCUAAACUUUACAUUAUAGAUCUAUGGAUUUUAACACGAGGAGUCGAGGACUGAAAUAAACAUAAUAUAUACAAGUGUUAUGUUUACGUUAAAAUAGUUUAGUACGUUGUUAUUAUAGUAAUAAUCUACAACAUACAUGUAAUGUACACUGUCAUUAAAUAAUAAAAUGUUAGUGUUGGAAUUGUAUCUAUUUGCAUACAUUAAUUUCUAAGUAAUGUCAAAUAGUAAAAACUUUUUUAUUAUCAA